GACGAACGCUGGCGGCGUGCUUAACACAUGCAAGUCGAACGAAGAGCGAUGGAAGCUUGCUUCUAUCAAUCUUAGUGGCGAACGGGUGAGUAACGCGUAAUCAACCUGCCCUUCAGAGGGGGACAACAGUUGGAAACGACUGCUAAUACCGCAUACGAUCUAAACUCGGCAUCGAGGAUAGAUGAAAGGUGGCCUCUACAUGUAAGCUACCACUGAAGGAGGGGAUUGCGUCUGAUUAGCUAGUUGGAGGGGUAACGGCCCACCAAGGCGAUGAUCAGUACCGGUCUGAGAGGAUGAACGGCCACAUUGGGACUGAGACACGGCCCAGACUCCUACGGGAGGCAGCAGUGGGGAAUCUUCCGCAAUGGACGAAAGUCUGACGGAGCAACGCCGCGUGAGUGAUGACGGCCUUCGGGUUGUAAAGCUCUGUUAAUCGGGACGAAAGGCCUUCUUGCGAAUAGUGAGAAGGAUUGACGGUACCGGAAUAGAAAGCCACGGCUAA
rnacentral:rRNA from 1 species